rnacentral:misc_RNA from 1 species
UAUGGUUGCUGUGUGUUAGUGGAUGAAAUAGUGCAAAAACCCUCUGGCUUGCUUUCCAUGAUUUCAGAUAAGCGGCCUUCCUGCUCAUCUUUGAGCCGUUAUGUACUAACCACACGAAGAUGUUACUGCAUCCUUUCAAGGCUUCCAUUCUUUGAACUGCAUUUUGGUGUAUUAAACAGCAUUUUCACAGAAGAAAGGUUGGAACGGUUAACAAAAGAAAUUGGUGUUUUCGAAUUGGAAUCCUUGGAGGGUUAUAGCAAAGAAGAAAAUUUAGAGGGCAAUUUAGAUGGUAUAUCACCAAAUUGUGGAUAUGCAGGAGAAGUGCUUGAUGGAACAGCGGAAAAUUUCCAAUCAAGCUCAAUAGAUUCUAUGCCUGGAGGUGUCGCUAAUGAUGGGAAUCACCUGGAGCAUCCAAUUCCUGAAGGGCAUAUUCACUUGUCAAAGAAAGGGAAUGAGGAUAAUGUUAUUACAGCUGAUUCUGAAACAGAGAUAGGCGUUGGCAAAGGAGAAUCUGGCAGUAGAAAACUUGACGAUUGUGAUAUUGAUGUUGAUUAUUUAUCCAACAAACAAGCAGAAGAAAGACGUUUACCAAAUGCUGUUCUUCCUCUCCUACGCUAUUAUCAGUAUGAAAGCUCAGAGUCUUCUUCUAGUUUCCAGGGUUCUCCAAGUGAAGACCGGAACUUUAGGAGUGAUGUUGAUGAUACAGAGACUGAAGAGGCAUCUUUUUCUGGCCAGGAGGAAUCUAAUGAUCAUAUGGAUAUUCUUGAAUGGGCCAAGGCAAACAACUAUGGAUCACUGCAGAUAAUAUGCAAGUAUUACCAGUUGCAUUGUCCUUCUAGG